rnacentral:rRNA from 1 species
AAUAUUCCGCAAUGGGGGAAACCCUGCCUGAGCAAUGCCGCGUGAGGGAAGAAUGCCUUCGGGUUGUAAACCUUUGUUCUAUGGGAAGAUAAUGACGGUACCAUAGGAGUAAGCCCCGGCUAACUACGUGCCAGCAGCCGCGGUAAUACGUAGGGGGGAAGCGUUGUCCGGAAUCACGUGGCGUAAAGGGCGUGUAGGCUGCUUAAUAAGUUAGAGGUGAAAACCAAGGGCUCAACCGUUGGAUUGCCUCUAAAACUGUUAGGCUUGAGUGCAGGAGAGGGAAGCGGAAUUCCUGGUGUAGCGGUGAAAUGCGUAGAUAUCAGGAGGAACACUAGUGGCGAAGGCGGCUUCCUGGCCUGUAACUGACGCUGAGGCGCGAAAGCGUGGGUAGCGAACA